rnacentral:rRNA from 1 species
GAUGAACGCUAGCGAUAGGCCUAACACAUGCAAGUCGAGGGGCAUCACAUGAAGUAGCAAUACGGAUGGUGGCGACCGGCGCACGGGUGAGUAACACGUAUGCAACCUGCCUUCAACAAGGGGAUAACCCGUUGAAAAACGGACUAAUACCCUAUAAUACAGGGGUCCCGCAUGGGGAUAUUUGUUAAAGAUUGAUCGGUUGAAGAUGGGCAUGCGUUCCAUUAGCUGGUUGGUGAGGUAACGGCUCACCAAGGCAACGAUGGAUAGGGGAACUGAGAGGUUUAUCCCCCACACUGGUACUGAGACACGGACCAGACUCCUACGGGAGGCAGCAGUGAGGAAUAUUGGUCAAUGGACGCAAGUCUGAACCAGCCACGUCGCGUGAAGGAAGACGGCCCUACGGGUUGUAAACUUCUUUUAUACGGGAAUAAAGUGCCCCACGUGUGGGGUUUUGCAAGUACCGUAUGAAUAAGGAUCGGCUAACUCCGUGCCAGCAGCCGCGGUAA